CGCUGGCGGUGCGCCUUAUGCAUGCAAGUCGAGCGAAGCUUUUCAGUAGUUUACUACAGAAAAUGACUGAGCGGCGAACGGGUGAGUAACGCGUGAGCAAUCUACCUUAGUUACAGGGAUAGCCCGAGGAAACUCGGAUUAAUACCUGAUAUUCUUUAUAUUUCGCAUGAAAUUAAAAGGAAAGGUCAGCCGAACUAAGAUGAGCUCGCGUUCUAUCAGCUAGUUGGUGAGGUAAAAGCUCACCAAGGCUACGACGGAUAGCUGGUCUGAGAGGACGAUCAGCCACACUGGGACUGAGACACGGCCCAGACUCCUACGGGAGGCUGCAGCAGGGAAUAUUGCGCAAUGAGCGAAAGCUUGACGCAGCGACACCGCGUGUGGGAUGACGGAUCUAGGUUUGUAAACCACUUUCAGGAGGGAAGAAAAUGACGGUACCUCCACAAGAAGCCCCGGCCAACUACGUGCCAGCAGCCGCGGUAAUACGUAGGGGGCGAGCGUUGUCCGGAUUUAUUGGGCGUAAAGAGCUCGUAGGCGGUUCAACAAGUCGGUCGUGAAAGUUCAGGGCUCAACCCUGAAAUGUCGAUCGAUACUGUUGUGACUAGGAUACGGUAGAGGUGAGUGGAAUUCCGAGUGUAGCGGUGAAAUGCGUAGAUAUUCGGAGGAACACCAAUUGCGAAGGCAGCUCACUGGGCCGCUAUCGACGCUGAGGAGCGAAAGCUAGGGGAGCAAACAGGAUUAGAUACCCUGGUAGUCCUAGCUGUAAACGAUGGAUACUAGACGUAGGAACUGGAUUGACGGUUUCUGUGUCGCAGCUAACGCGUUAAGUAUCCCGCCUGGGGAGUACG
rnacentral:rRNA from 1 species